CUGUAAGGCCUACUGGCGUAAUUACGUGGAAUAAUGGAGGGCUCAUUAUAAAGGUAAAUAUCCUUCUGAGGAGCAAAAAUCUCUUGGAAAUCCUGGAACAUCAAACUUCAGAAUACCUAACAAACAAACAGAACGUUGGAAAGUACAGAUACAGACCUACUGGAGAGUCAACAGGCUUUCACAGUUCAACUGUGAGACAGGAGUUCAUUGCUCCUGGUCUAGUGGGAAUAUAUUUUGGAUGAACGUGAUGCUGCUACACUGACAUUACAGUUAAUAUGGUCUUGUACCCAUAUCUCAAUCAAUGACUUAUAAAUAGAAGUCCCACGUCCAGAUGGCAGAAUUCCGGCCUGCCAGUGCAGUGCUUCAGUGUGCCCAACCUGCUUUAUGACAACUGUGAGGGUCAGUCUUCACUGUCAACUCAGUUGGACGAAGAAUCACCCAUUAGACAUGUCUGUGAAAGCACUUCCAUAAAAAUUUAAUUGAGGAGGGAAAAUCCACCCUGAAGCUGAGUUACGUCAUCCUAUAGAUCUGCUUCUCAGAGUAACUAAAAAGGAAAGCAAGAGAAUGCAAGGUGAACGCCCAUAUCAACUGUCUCUCUGCUUCCGUCAUGACUGCUGACAAAAUGUGACCAGCUGGUUCUCCCACUACCAUACUUUCUGCCAGGAUGGACCAUUUCCCAUCUUAAAUCAGGAGCCAAAAACGACGCUCCUUCCUGAAGGUAAUUCUCGAAGGUAAUUUUGGCACAUCAAUGAGCAAAGUAACUAUUACAGUCAUCUAAAGAGCCUGCAAACAUCUCAAAAAGAGGACGAAGCAAAACAGAACUUUUACCAUCAGUCUAGUUUCAGUGUCUUCUCUGACUUCCCCUGUAGGAGUUCUGAAGUGACUGCACUGUUCUUGAAGUGAUACAACUGAAGAGGUUAUUAAAAUCCAAACUUAAGUGAAUG